rnacentral:lncRNA from 1 species
UGCGUCGUUAGUUACCUCAAUAAAAGCCUACUUUAAUAUACAGAAUAAAUGUUCUGCUCUCUUCAUGCGUGAAAGGAUGUCAUAACAGGCAACCGUCUUCUAUCUCUUUCCUGGGGUUGUGUGCAUGCUGUAGGUGCACUUUAGGACCCUGCUCCAGCUACUAUCAUAAAGCACUAUAGACUAGUCUUUGUUGAAGGCUGAAGUGCUACAAAGUACCCAACAAAGAACAAAAUGCAAGGGCGCCCUGACCUGCAAUGCAUCUGAGAAACCUUGCCAUAGGGGGGUUUCAAAAGACUGGAGGAUUGUAUGGGCAUCACAUCACAGCAUGCUUAAAAUGUGUAAAUUCACCUAGGGCAUAUGGCUCUAUCAAAUAUGGAAAGGACUAUCAAAUAGAUGGACUACAAGGUUUUUUUAUUUAUAACUUUUUUAUGGAAUAUAUAGGAGUUGAGGGCUAGGACAUGCUUGAGUCAGGCAUUGAAAUGGGGACAGGAUUGAAAGGGUCUCUCUAUAGUGGAAUGACUGCUUCAUCAAUAGGUAAUAUCCCGACUGGUUUCUCAAUAGGUAAUAUCCCGACUGGUUUCUCAAUAGGUAAUAUCCCGACUGGUUUCUCAAUAGGUAAUGUCCCAACCGGUGUCUCAAUGGGCAAUGUCCCAACUGGUUUCUCAAUAGGUAAUAUCCCGACUGGUUUCUCAAUAGGUAAUAUCCCGACUGGUUUCUCAAUAGGUAAUGUCCCAACUGGUUUCUCAAUAGGUAAUGUCCCAACUGGUUUCUCAAUAGGUAAUAUCCCGACUGGUUUCUCAAUAGGUAAUGUCCCAACUGGUUUCUCAAUAGGUAAUGUCCUGACUGGUUUCUCAAUAGGUAAUAUCCCAACUAGUUUCUCAUGGGUGAGUACACCAGUGGGGGUGCAUUCAACACUCUGCAACUCUGUUA